rnacentral:rRNA from 1 species
GAUGAACGCUAGCUACAGGCUUAACACAUGCAAGUCGAGGGACCGGCGCACGGGUGAGUAACACGUAUCCAACCUGCCCUUUACUCGGGGAUAGCCUUUCGAAAGAAAGAUUAAUACCCGAUAUAAAGGCUGGGGAUGCGUUCCUUUAGGUUGUUGGUGAGGUAACGGCUCACCAAGCCUUCGAUGGAUAGGGGUUCUGAGAGGAAGGACACCCACGUUGUAACUGAUACCCGGUCUAAACUUGUACGGGAGGGAGCAGUGAGUAAUAUUGGUGAAUGGGCGCUAGCCUGAACCAGCCAAGUAGCGUGAAGGAUGAAGGCUUAUGGGUCGUAAACUGCUUUUAUAUAAGAAUAUGUAUUAUAUGAAUAAGGAUCGGCUAACGCCGUGCCAGCAGCCGCGGUAAUUC